rnacentral:rRNA from 1 species
GAUGAACGCUGGCGUCGUGCUUAACACAUGCAAGUCGAACGAAACACCUUAUUUGAUUUUCUUCGGAACUGAAGAUUUGGUGAUUGAGUGGCGGACGGGUGAGUAACGCGUGGGUAACCUGCCCUGUACAGGGGGAUAACAGUCAGAAAUGACUGCUAAUACCGCAUAAGACCACAGCACCGCAUGGUGCAGGGGUAAAAACUCCGGUGGUACAGGAUGGACCCGCGUCUGAUUAGCUGGUUGGUGAGGUAACGGCUCACCAAGGCGACGAUCAGUAGCCGGCUUGAGAGAGUGAACGGCCACAUUGGGACUGAGACACGGCCCAAACUCCUACGGGAGGCAGCAGUGGGGAAUAUUGCACAAUGGGGGAAACCCUGAUGCAGCGACGCCGCGUGAGUGAAGAAGUAUUUCGGUAUGUAAAGCUCUAUCAGCAGGGAAGAAAAUGACGGUACCUGACUAAGAAGCCCCGGCUAACUACGUG